UGACCUGCGGAAGGAUCAUUGUCGUGACCCUGACCAAACAGACCGUGAACGCGUCAUCCAUGCUGCCGGUUGACUGGGCUCGCACCCGUCUCCCCAGUAUGGGCAUCCGACCUUCCUCCGGAGGGGAGGGGCCCCAAAACAACCGCCGGAACCAUAUGGUGUCAAGGAUGACUGAUGUUGCCUUUUGGUCUGGUCAAGACCGGCUAUCCGGACAAACUCCGUUAAGCGAUGCUAAGUUAACCAACAUGACUCUCGGCUAUCGAUUUCUUGGCUCUCGUAUCGAUGAACAACAUAUGAAAUUGCUAUACCAGGUGUGAAUUGCAUAAUCCCUUUAACCAUCAAUUUUUUGAACGGCCUUUGGGCCCAAGGCCUCCUGGCCGAGGGCACAUCUGCCUGGACGUCACCCCACAAUACAACUCCCCACCCGUGCCGGUGCGGACGUGGUGUCCGGCCCCUCGUGACUCCGGGCGCGGUGGGCCAAAGUUAGGGCUGCCGGCGGUGCCGAUCACAGCACAAGGUGGAUGACACAUGUUGUUCUCAGUGCUGAAAUCGGUACAGCUUCGUGUGAUGGCCCUCGGGACCCCAUUGACUGAAGUGCAUGUUAGUCGGACCACGACCCCAGGUCAGUCGGGAUUACCCGCUGAAUUUAAGCAUAUCAAUAGGCGGGAGG
rnacentral:rRNA from 1 species